rnacentral:rRNA from 1 species
GAUCCUGGCUCAGGAUGAACGCUAGCGGCAGGCUUAACACAUGCAAGUCGGAGGGGCAGCGGGGAGUAGCAAUACUCCGCCGGCGACCGGCGCACGGGUGCGUAACGCGUAUGCAACCUACCUUUAACAGGGGCAUAACACUGAGAAAUUGGUACUAAUUCCCCAUAACAUUCGAGAAGGCAUCUUCUUGGGUUAAAAACUCCGCUGGUUAAAGAUGGGCAUGCGUUGUAUUAGCUAGUUGGUGAGGUAACGG